rnacentral:misc_RNA from 1 species
GCUGUUUCAAUGAAUAAAGAUAUUUGUUUAAUAAUAGUACACCCCACCACUAGGCUUUAUAAGUUGGACCAAACAAAACAACAAUCCCAACUAGUACCCACUCAACUAAAAAAUGGUAACAUAUCAUGUCAAUUGAAGUGCAUUAUUUUCUUUUUUCAGAAGGAACACUAUGGCUAUUUUCAACUAUGCCUCAAUUAGUGUUUCAAGAUUGUAAGGCCUUGUGAGUUCAGAAUUUCCCCUCCACAUGAGCUUGGCAAUUUGAUUGUU